rnacentral:rRNA from 1 species
UACGUAGGGGGCAAGCGUUGUCCGGAUUUAUUGGGCGUAAAGAGCGUGUAGGCGGCCGCACAGGUCCGUUGUGAAAAACUGGAGGCUUAACCUCCAGACGUCGAUGGAAACCGUGCGGCUAGAGUCCGGAAGAGGAGAGUGGAAUUCCUGGUGUAGCGGUGAAAUGCGCAGAUAUCAGGAAGAACACCCGUGGCGAAGGCGGCUCUCUGGGACGGUACUGACGCUGAGACGCGAAAGCGUGGGGAGCGAACAGG